AACAUCAUCAGCUACAUCAACGAGGACGACGACUACUUGUUUCAUUUAACUCACAUUUGUGUCCUAUCUCUUUCAGUUUUGAUUUACUGGGGACUUAAUCGCCUCAAAGAAUCUCGCUGCCAUCCCUUUAUUGAGUGAGAUUGGACAAGCCAGAGCGAAUUCGACACCGAAUGGACUGACAGAGUUAAACGAGAGAUUAAGGGACGAUGGAGCAUUUUGCUGCAAGAGCACAUCAACAAACAGCCGUCUUUAAAAAUCGAUUCUCCGACAGUUGUGGUAAUCCCCAAAAUACCUUUUACCUUGGACAGGCUUUAGUGUCGGAACAAGAAGCCAGAACUAAAUCACUUGUUGAUUGAGAGCAUUGAGGAAACCCUCCGCCAGUUUAUUAUUACCAUCAUUUCCUUCUCCUCUCGAGUCUGGUGUUCACCACAGAUCGAAGAUUGGUAUCGAUCCAGUUUACGAACCACACGACCCAAACGAAGCAAACGAACUACCUUGAGCGCGCUGAAGAGACUUCCAAUACCCUGAAAAUGUCAAGAGAUAGAAGAGGGCCUUAGAUAUUGAGCCAACACUCGAAGUCACACAACCAUGAUUGCCAUUCAUUUGUAGUUUCUCCGUUGAGAAAUUGGUAAGGAAGAAAGGAAACAGAAAGCCAAGAAAUCUACAGCACACAGUUCAAAAUUCAGCCCAGCUGUCGUUCUUGAUGAACCAUCCCAUUGUGUUCGUUUUUCUGCCCUUGGUCCCAUUCUUCAUGGGCCUUUGUGGAAUCAGGUAGAAGAAUGGUGUCCAAGUAGGAGCUCUAUGGUUGCUGCUGCUCCUCCUACUAUUAUUGUUGCUGUUAUUG